GUACAGGUUUCCGUAGGUGACCUGCGGAAGGAUCAUUA
rnacentral:rRNA from 1 species